rnacentral:rRNA from 1 species
AGUUUGAUCAUGGCUCGAGGACGAACGCUGGCGGCGUGCUUAACACAUGCAAGUCGAACGGUGACCCAGGGCUUGCCCUGGUGAUCAGUGGCGAACGGGUGAGUAACACGUGGGCAACCUGCCCCUGACUUCGGGAUAACUCCUCGAAAGAGGAGCUAAUACCGGAUACGACCACUUCGGACAUCCGAUGGUGGUGGAAAGUUUUUCGGUCAGGGAUGGGCCCGCGGCCUAUCAGCUAGUUGGUGGGGUAAUGGCCUACCAAGGCGACGACGGGUAGCCGGCCUGAGAGGGCGACCGGCCACACUGGGACUGAGACACGGCCCAGACUCCUACGGGAGGCAGCAGUGGGGAAUAUUGCGCAAUGGGCGAAAGCCUGACGCAGCGACGCCGCGUGAGGGAUGAAGGCCUUCGGGUUGUAAACCUCUUUCAGCAGGGACGAAGCGAAAGUGACGGUACCUGCAGAAGAAGCACCGGCUAACUACGUG